rnacentral:rRNA from 1 species
GACGAACGCUUGCGGCGUGCCUAAGAAAUGCAAGUCGAGCGGGUCCGAAGGCUGAAUGGUGAAAGACGAAGGACGGAUUUCGUUUUUCAGCGUUCAGCAUUCAGCUCUCGGACUAGCGGCGAACGGUCGCGUAACACGUAAGCAACCUGCCCCGAAGACCGGGACAACAGUGGGAAACCGCUGCUAAUACCGGAUGUGGCCAUUGGGGGACAUCCCCCGG